rnacentral:rRNA from 1 species
GAUGAACGCUGGCGGCGUGCCUAAUACAUGCAAGUCGAGCGAACGGACGAGAAGCUUGCUUCUCUGAUGUUAGCGGCGGACGGGUGAGUAACACGUGGAUAACCUACCUAUAAGACUGGGAUAACUUCGGGAAACCGGAGCUAAUACCGGAUAUUUUUUGAACCGUAUGGUUUCAAAGUGAAAAAAGGUCUUGGUGUUACCUAUUGAUGGGUCCCCCGCUGCAUUAGCUAGUUGGUAAGGAAACGGCUUACCAAGGCAACGAUGCAUAGCCGACCUGAGAGGGUGAUCGGCCACACUGGAACUGAGACACGGUCCAGACUCCUACGGGAGGCAGCAGUAGGGAAUCUUCCGCAAUGGGCGAAAGCCUGACGGAGCAACGCCGCGUGAGUGAUGAAGGUCUUCGGAUCGUAAAACUCUGUUAUUAGGGAAGAACAUAUGUGUAAGUAACUGUGCACAUCUUGACGGUACCUAAUCAGAAAGCCACGGCUAACUACGUG